UACGUAGGGAGCGAGCGUUGUCCGAAGUACUGGGCGUAAAGCGUGCGCAGGCGGUGAUGUAAGACAGAUGUGAAAUCCCCGGGCUCAACCUGGGAACUGCAUUUGUGACUGCAUCGCUGGAGUGCGGCAGAGGGGGAUGGAAUUCCGCGUGUAGCAGUGAAAUGCGUAGAUAUGCGGAGGAACACCGAUGGCGAAGGCAAUCCCCUGGGCCUGCACUGACGCUCAUGCACGAAAGCGUGGGGAGCAAACAGG
rnacentral:rRNA from 1 species